CUUUUACACACAAAAAUUAGCACAUCUAAAUGUUUGGUUUAGCAUAUAGCACUGCCAAUUAAUGCCACACUGAUACUUACUUGCUUUAUUUUAAAAGAAUGGCAAGUUUAUUAGGGGGGGUGGGGCUAUGAUAUUUUUUUUUUUUUGUUUUUCUCUUUUGGACUCCAGAGGUUGAGCUGUUAAUUCCUCAACUAUCUGUUAAUCUCAGUGUUAAAUCCAAACCAGAAUGUACAUAACAGACUGAGACUUAUUUCAAAUUCAAGGACAAUGAUGUUUAACCGUGGCAUUGCAGUUGUUUGUAAAUUGCCCAUAUGCACCUGUAGUGCCAAGAUUAGCAUCAUUAGCCUAGUCGAUUAGACCUUAUUUUUAGGAGUUUCAAUGAUGCGAGCUUAAUUUUAAAUUUUAGUGAGAAAAUAAUGCUGAUUUUCUUAACAUUAAAAUAAGAUCUAUGGGAGAAAACUGCACAUUUUAGCUGUGGAAGAUUACAAUUUGCCUGAAAUGUUUCACAAUUUUUAAACUUGUACAAUUAUUUUUAUAAUUAAUUUAUAUAGCACUAAUAGAUGCCAUAGCAAUAUUAUGAUUUCUGCACCAGAGAAACCAUUGGGAAUAUCUGCAGUGCAGGUUGAACUUUACAUGGUUUUCUUUAUGCCCUUAACAGCAGGUAGAAUAUCAGUGCUAAUUUUCAC